rnacentral:misc_RNA from 1 species
AAGUCGUAACAAGGUUUCCGUAGGUGAACCUGCGGAAGGAUCAUUAUCAAAUAGCCCUGGGGGGUCAAACCCUCAGCGUCUAUAUCCUCUGAAUACAUACCUCUGUUGCUUUGGCGGACCGGGCACUCGUGCUCCGGCGGUCAGUUACCUCUGCCUGCCGAGCGUCCGCCAGAGACCCACCUAAACCCCCUACAACUAUAUUGUCUGAAGAAAAACAUAAUAGCUAAAA